ensembl:misc_RNA Metazoa_SRP Metazoan signal recognition particle RNA
GCUGGGUGUGGUGGCGCACACCUGUGGUCCCAGCUACGCAGGAGGCUGAGGCAGGGGGAUCACUUGAGCCCAGGAGGUUGAGGCUGCAGUGAGCUGUGAUAGCACCACUGCACUCCAGCUUGGGCGACAGAGUGAGACCCUGUCUCAA